UACGGAGGGUGCAAGCGUUAAUCGGAAUUACUGGGCGUAAAGCGUGCGCAGGCGGUUUGUUAAGUCCGCUGUGAAAUCCCCGAGCUCGACUUGGGAAUUGCAGUGGAUACUGGCAGGCUGGAGUAUGGUAGAGGAAGGUGGAAUUCCCGGUGUAGCGGUGAAAUGCGCAGAUAUCAGGAGGAACACCGGUGGCGAAGGCGGAUCUCUGGGCCGAUACUGACGCUGAGGAGCGAAAGCGUGGGGAGCGAACAGG
rnacentral:rRNA from 1 species